rnacentral:lncRNA from 1 species
UUUAGAUAAAAAAUUCCUCCCAAACAGACUGUAAAUGAGUGACCACUAAAAAUCACUUGUUCACCGAAAAUAUAAAAGUUACCAAAUGCUCAUUGAAGUAUUCAUCAUUUUACUCAUUCAUCACUAUUGUCACUUCCAACUGGCAAAAAAGUUCCACAUGGCAGAUGAAAAGAUGAUGUGGCAAACGAAAUCCUUAAAUCUUUCCACGUUAGCAUAAAUUGUUGUUUGUAAAACGACUUGUGCAACAUUGUUGCUAAUCUCUGCACAAUCAAUAUUCACUAGGAUCAUGAUUCCCAACAUUUUUUUAGUCCCAAUUCAGAUAACGAUGGGAUUUUCUUAGGGCUUAGUCAAAGAUGGUGAUUUCGUUGCCUUUCUCAAUCCAUUUCUGUAAAAUAUUGGUGGCGCUCCUCUUGGGGAAUCUUGAGCCUCUAGAACCGUUAUUAUCAAUUUAACAUCUUUUCUCAAGAGUUGUACUGUAUUCAUCAGUCCCCAAUAAUUCUCUUUCUAAUUCCCAUAUCAAAUCUUUUUUCAUUUGCUAUUGAAAUUAGGGCCUGAUAAAAUCCAUAAAUUAUUGCAAAACUUUGAGUUGGUUUUUGAAGGUUGAAUCGCCGUCAAGGCUUCAGAGGUAGGGCGUGGUCAUGGCGGCACCUUAUUCAGUUAUUCAGCUUCCAAGUCUAAG